AUCUAUUAUGUAUUGUAUCAUAGUGAUGUGAAAUGAAAUCUUUUCAAAUACAACUUGUUUAUUACAGUUGAUAUAAGCAUAGGGAAUGGAGACGACAAAACAUGUACACCUUUAUCAUAUUGUCACAACAAACAUGUAUUGGUGUGUAUCCAUAUAUGAACCAUGAAAUCAAAACUAUGAACUGAACAAGCUGAGAAUUUCAACAAAUGAAAGAAUUGUUGUCAUUCAUCAAGUAGAGUUGACAGACCAACUAACCAUAUCCUUUCUCACCGUGUGCAUUGCAAAUGCCACAUCGUCACGUAUCUUGUACCAUAGAGAGAGAAAUUUGCAUGAAAUCGUGUUUUUAUAUAUAGAAAAAUGAAAUUUUAAUUCCUACAAACUACAAUAGAACUCUUUACUGCAAAAAGUUGUGCAUACACGAUCUAUUUCCCUACCAUUAAGGGCACACAAUAAAUUAAAUGUGGUUUUCAAUAACCCAACGAGAAAUGCACAUCAAUGUUAAUCAAUCUAAUACUAAACAUCAAGCAAAAAGUGAUGUUUAGCCAUUUUUAGGCGCAAGCAAAUAAAAAGUACCUGAAGGAAUAUAUCUAGUAUGAAAUUGACCCUAAGAUGUGCAAGUAUAAGGAAAUGGCUACUACUUUUAGCUUUAUCCAAUAGACUAUCUUUGAAGGAGUGAAAUACGCAAACAGUAAGAAUUUAUCUAGUGGAGGUGCACAUAGUUGAUCACCAUUUUAGUGAAUCUAACAAAACAUUCAAUUACCAAAAAAAGAGUAAGAAUUGACUUGACAAAAACAUGCCAAUUCACUUUUUCACCCAUAAUUCUCCUUUGCCAAAAGCAGCGCUUGUGCACCAUUGGACGAUUGAGUGGCCAACAAACAUUUAAGUAUAAAAGAGUUCUAUUUCAAUAACCAAGUCAGUUUGUUGCUUUUGCAAAUCUAUUUCCACGACAAGCCAAAUGUUAAUAUGAAGAAAAAAAAUGGGAUGUUCAACACUCCAACUUAGGCAUUUGGAUAUGGAGUGCAUGGUGGCCAGAACAUUUGAGCAAAUUUUUUACAUAGUGGACAUUUUUACCACUAUCUUGUCAGAGUAUUGUCAAAAAACAACACUAAGUUGCAGAUUAAUUUCUAUAGCAGUCAUCAGGUUAUUUGAUUUGAAAUGCACCAUAGAGGAUGGAAGGAUCAAGGAAAGGCUAUCUGAUUUUUAUGGCUUGAAUGUUUCAUCUUAUAACCAUUUAUUGAGACUGUCUACAACCGUUCACCCUAAUUUUGGCCCCAAAUAUCCCACUAUCUCGCCACGUCAAAGUCAGUGUAUGAAGAAAGAGUAUAUCGCUGCGACUGUUUAGAGCCUAAAUGGCCUUUCUCGACACCAUUGCUUAAUUUUAAUGAAACUUAUCUCACGUUGAUGGAAUAUGAAGGGCAUAAUGGUGGAAAAUGCACCAUCAGUAACAACUGUCCUAAUGAAAGUAAAGAAAUUGACGAGUCGAAACUGAAAGAUUGAAGUAUUAAAAAAUUGUUAGGUAUAAAUAUAUGUAUCAUGUGUAAUGUAGUUCUUUUUUUAAAAUGGCAAUAGCUUCGAAUUUAUUUUCAUGUCUGGUUCACACACACACAAAGACAUCAACCCUGCCACCAUAAUUUUUACUAUUUAAUGUAAAAAGAAAUGAAAGAGCAUAUGCAUCUCAAAUUUAUAUUGAACAGAUGCAGAAAUAAAUCAAAAACAUAAGAUGAUGAGAAAGCAAAGUAGCAAAUGUCUAGUCUAUAUAAUAUGCUUAAAUAAUAUAACAAGUAAAAGUUACCAGCAAUAGCCUUUGUUUGUGCAGCAACAACGACCACUGUUGUUCCUACCUCUCUCUGAAAACAAUCUCACAGAGAAUGAAAACAUCACGUCUGCUAGUGCAAUUGCUGUUUGCAAGCACCACAAACUAAAGUGCUUGAGAUUCAGGAAAAAAUAAGAGAGGCACACCUUAAGAUUUGUGCAGUUGUUUGGAACUGCAUAGAGGGAUUCAUCUGUGAUGAAUGUUCCACCAAUGUUACCAUAUAUCAGAAAAUCCAUCAACUCUAUAAACCAAAUACUCACCAGUACUAAAUCUGUAGCACACGAAAUUUCUUAUGGUUGCAGAGGGGGAUUGCAAGGCCGCUGACUCCCUAAAAGAUCUGCACACCGAUUUUCAGGCAGUCAGUAGGCAUCUCUUAACUGAAGGUCAAUGUUCUGAAGUUCAUUUGAUUCACCAUCAUAUAGCUCACCACCCCAAUCUAAUGACGUCCAUGCCUGUAUUGCUCCUAAACCAAGCAUAGAAUGGAAACCUUUAACCAAGUAGGACAUAUGACAGACCUAUUAACAGGGUAUUGGAGAAAAAUAUUAUUGGAGUUGACAUCAGACUAACUUACCAAGCAAGAAACUACCUUAUCAAACUAUGAGAUCUGAAUUUUAAAUAACUGAAUCAACAUUCAUUGUGCCAAUACAACGUGUGUUGCCCAUUGCAGGCCUCUCUGCUCCAGCCAUAUCCACCCUUCAUGCAGACACAGAAUCGUCCCACUACAAGCGAAGCACGAGCGGAACCACCUGAAUCAGACACCUUCAGAAGGCAGCCUUCAGUGCAAUCAACAGUUGAGACGCGACAGAUCGAGACGAAAAAAUGUGGACCUCUAUAUGAGGUUGGGGAUUGAGUCGGCGAGGUGCUCGUAGUCGGUGAUGACCUACCACAGCGUGUCAACAUCGGCGGCCACUGACACGUACGCGAGCACCCACCACGACCACGUCGCACUGACGCCGCACGCCAAGACAGUGGGUCCGGCCUCCGGCACGCCCGCGCGCCCUCUGUGGUAGUGCUGGUGGUCAGCGCCUCAGUGGUCCCCUGUGGCGG
rnacentral:lncRNA from 1 species